CCUACGGGGGGCAGCAGUGAGGAAUAUUGGUCAAUGGGCGAGAGCCUGAACCAGCCAAGUCGCGUGAGGGAGUACUGCCCUAUGGGUUGUAAACCUCUUUUGUCGGGGAGCAAAAGCCGGACGUGUCCGGCUGUGAGAGUACCCGAAGAAAAAGCAUCGGCUAACUCCGUGCCAGCAGCCGCGGUAAUACGGAGGAUGCGAGCGUUGUCCGGAAUUACUGGGUGUAAAGGGAGCGUAGGCGGGAUGGCAAGUUGGGUGUUAAAUCUACCGGCUCAACUGGUAGUCGCACUCAAAACUGCUAUUCUUGAGUGAAGUAGAGGCAGGCGGAAUUCCUAGUGUAGCGGUGAAAUGCGUAGAUAUUAGGAGGAACACCAGUGGCGAAGGCGGCCUGCUGGGCUUUUACUGACGCUGAGGCUCGAAAGUGUGGGGAGCAAACAGGAUUAGAUACCCCUGUAGUC
rnacentral:rRNA from 1 species